CGCCCGGCGGCCCCGCCCCACGGCGGCACGCCCGCUGCGUUCUUCCUCCUGCCGCCGCCCCUCCCUCCAGGCCGGCCUCGCUCUCGCUUUCGCCGCCCGCACUCCCAACGCAAACAAACGCCUAUGAAACAUCUGAUUUCCUCAGGCAAUUGAAGCAAAAUGGUCAUGCUCUUGGCUUCAUAUUUCCCAACAUAUCUUCCCCUAUCAAUCAAUCAGCAUCAUCCAUCAUCAGUGGGAAAAAAAAGACUGGAGGAAGACUUAAUGACAAUAUACAAGUGAUUCCGACUGGGACAUAGCACCAACCAUUCAGACUCUUAAGAUAAGCUGCAGAUAACACAAAUUAUGUGAAAUGGACAUUCCAGUUCCUGUUUACACAACCAUUUCAAAAGAGCUGGUUGUUGCCUAACUCAGUUUAUAUUUACAUAUACAUCUGAAGAGCUCAUUUUCAGAAGGCAAAUUUUUGCUACAAUGGCAGGGAAAGAGCAAAGUAUUUCUGUCCAGACCUGCACAUAUUGCAAUAUGAUUAGCUCAUGCACAAACAUCGAUCUCACCCACUCCAAUCCCCUCUCCAAAAAUUGGAAUCAUCAACUUGGGUUGAAAAAUGGACCAUCGUUUCAUCUUCCAAAUGCUAAUUCUCUAACUUUGGAAAAGUUUGCUCAGAACUUUGCUUCGUUUUGUACUAGUUGUGAAAAAUGUGAGAAAGGAUUACCAUUGAACAUAUAAGUAUAUAACAGGAAAUUCUUUUCUAACCAGUGGUUUUUGCAUAUAUCACAACUGAAGUAAUUGGAGGCAGGGCAACAUUUCUCCGACAUGGUACUCAGUGAUUCCCUGACUGAUAAAUGAAGAGGCUGAAUCAUGUUUGAUAUGUAGUAAUCAAGGCAAUAUCUACACUUUGCUAAGUUCAAUAUGUCUGCUGUGGGUCCGUUUUUAUGUUUCAUUUCCAGUAUUCUCUGUUCUGCCAUCUCCCUUCCCUUCUGAACUUGAGUCUAGAAUCAACUAAUGGUGAGGGAGUUAUUCAGCUAGAAUUGUACCGACAUUAAAAAAAUGACGAGACUUUUACCAAGACUGAAGGUGAAUGCAUUCCAGCUUAAGCUGAACAAAUGCCAUAAUUAUUAGAAAGGAUAAUACUGUUCCGUAAGAGGUCAUCUGCAGUUAGUUCUGUUAUCAGCAUUGCUCAUAUUUUCCUCUCCAAGAGCUUUGCUUUCCCAGAGAAACACUCAUUCUGAAAGUUGAGAGUCAUUAUCUCUCAUGGCAGCAGAGGUAUAUCAGUUCAGUGAUUUAUCCAAUCUGGACCAAGCUCAGGAGAAACCAGUUCUAUAUGUUUUUAACAAAAGUGCCUGGGCAUAGGAGCCAUUGGCUAGAACCUGUAAUGCAACUAAACCAUCUUUCCCCUGCUGCCUCCAGAUUUCUUGGCAUUUCAGACUUAGAACAAUAAUAAUUAUUAUUUUAAAGAUACGUAUUAUUGGAGUUUUAAAAAUGUGUUUUAAAGCAAGCAAUUCUAAAUCUAGGAUGCAAAAGAAAGAAGCCAAAGGACCCAAGCAGUGCUUUCAUUUGUGACACAAAUGUCCUCUUAAAAUAAGGAUAUCUAGAAACAGACUCAUCUCAAAGAAGGAAAAAACAACCACCCAUAGCAUUACAAGAUAUACUUGCACCAUUGUGAAUCACUUAAGCUUGCCAACAGACCAGGGGGAAGAAAGGGAGAGACCGGUAGGUGCAUUCCGGAUGAUAACAAGAAAUGGCCUCUUGAGAACCAAGGACAUUUCAGCUGGUAUUCACCAGAUCUUCCCACAACAGCACCUGGACACCUAAUUGGACAAUGUGACCUACACAAAAGGGGUGGGGGGAGGCAGGAUUCUAUAGUUUAAUUAUAUUGAGUUGCCUGGGAAUUCCCUGGAGCGGGUUUUGCUUCAGUCCGUGCCAAAAUGAUGUUCUCAAUAAAGCUUUGCAUUAAGAGAUUGUAUCAUUUGAACAGUGCCUGCUUGUUUGGGUUUGUCAGUCGCAACCUUGACAAACACAUUAAAUUAUCUCCAAAUAUUGAAUUGUUAUUCCAAUCUAAUUUUUGUUUUACAUUUUCAAAUACCAGACAGUCCUAUGUCUAUCCUUCCUCACUUUCUUGUUUUUGUUUUCCUCUCUCUAAAGUCUGUAGCAGGGGUAGUCAACAUUUUUAUACCUACCGCCCACUUUUGUAUCUCUGUUAGUAGUAAAAUUUUCUAACCGCCCACCGGUUCCACAGUAAUGCAUCACGUAUCGUCAUCUGUGCAUGCCUCUCUCGCAUCGUGGAUUGGGUUGGGGGAGGUACCGGCUACCAGCUCUGCUUGUCUGUUACAGCUGGGUGGUGUGGGGGGAG